AGGAGGAGGAGGUGAUUUAUAUACGUACUUUUCCUUUGGUGGCGGUGGGGAAUGGUAAACUGGAGGAGGAGAAUAGUGCUUAACCGGAGGAGGAGGGGAUUUGUAUACGUAGUGCUUCUUUGGUGGGGGUGGGGAAUGGUAAACCGGAGGGGGAGAGUAGUGCUUCACCGGAGGAGGAGGGGAUUUGUACACGUAGUGUUUCUUUGGUGGUGGUGGAGAGUGGUAAACCGGAGGAGGGGAGUAGUGCAUAACCGGAGGAGGAGGAGAUUUGUACACGUAGUGUUUCUUUGGUGGUGGUGGAGAGUGGUAAACCGGAGGAGGGGAGUAGUGCAUAACCGGAGGAGGAGGAGAUUUGUACACGUAGUGUUUCUUUGGUGGUGGUGGAGAGUGGUAAACCGGAGGAGGGGAGUAGUGCAUAACCGGAGGAGGAGGAGAUUUGUACACGUAGUGUUUCUUUGGUGGUGGUGGAGAGUGGUAAACCGGAGGAGGAGAAUAGUGCAUCACUGGAGGAGGAGGAGAUUUGUAGACGUAAUGUUUUUUAGGUGGGGGUGGGGAAUGGUAAACAGGAGGGGGUGUGUAGUGUUUAACCGGAGGAGGAGGAGAUUUGUAUACGUAAUGUUUCUUGGGUGGUGGUGGUGAGUGGUAGACUGGUGGGGGAGAGUAGUGCUUAACCGGUGGGGGUGGAGAUUUGUAGACGUAGUCCUUCUUAGGAGGUGGUGGAGAGUGGUAAACCGGAGGAGGAGAAUAGUGUUUAACCGGAGGAGGAGGGGACUUGUACACGUAGUGUUUCUUUGGUGGUGGUGGAGAAUGGUAAACGGGAGGAGGAGAGUAGUGCUUAACCGGGGGUGGAGGGGAUUUGUACACGUAGUGCUUCUUUGGGGGUGGUGGAGAGUGGUAAACCGGUGGUGGAGAGUAGUGUUUAACUGGAGGAGGUGGAGAUUUAUAUUCGUAGUGUUUCUUAG
rnacentral:lncRNA from 1 species